rnacentral:lncRNA from 1 species
UGAGCAACUAAGUGAGAUCCUGUCCUAAAAAAAUAAAAAGGGUUUGGGAUGUGGCUCAGCACCCCUGGGUUCGUUCAAUCCCUGGUACCAAAAAGAAAAAAAAGAUGUCAAGAAAAAAAGGACAAGUUAACUGCACUUUUCAGAGCAAUAGGGCACGAGAUAAUAAGAGACAAAGGACCCUAUAUUGGGGGAAACUUGCAAUUAAAGAUGACCAAGAAGUUAACAGACAGGAAAUGGGAAUGAUGCCAAACAUAUCUGUUAAGCCUCCAUAUAUUGUUGUAACAAUCUCCAAGGUUUGGAUGGAAACGAUGGCAAAGUUUGGUUUUGCGUAUUUUAUAGUCCUGGCUAUUGACCAAGGAAGACUCAUGCUAAUAGUUUAUUAUCGGGUUGUUGUUUUUGGUGAAGUGCAACUUUAUAAGAAACUUGAGUAGCCUCUACAACAAGCGAGCUAUUGUCCUCUGCAUUUGACUAUAUGGUAGGUAAAAUGACCUUGGAGAAGAUGGCUCCUCCUCUGCCCUCUGACAUCUGGACCUCCUCUGGAGUACAAGCAAGGAAAGCAGCAGGGGAAGAAUAUUCUCAACACGUAUGAUGUCCUAGUUUCAACAGCUCCACUUCUAGCUCCAAAAAAGCCUGUGGUUCAGUGUGGAGAAAUCAUUAACAUGGGAUUCAAGGAGGAAAAAUGCAGUCUUUAAGUCCUAAUCCUCCAGAGGAUAUCAAAUGAUCGCGAGGAAAACCAUGAAGUCAGUUUGCUUCUGACUCGAAAUUUCAAAGGAAAAGGAGUGAUAGAAAAUUAAAGCCUCUGGAAAACACAGUGGUGCAUAUUCAUCCGUCAAGAGAGUCAUUGUUUUCUUAAUACAAAUAUAUCUCAUGGCAAGUUCCUAAGAGUGUAAUCCAGGCAGUCUUGUAAAUAUCAGGCUGGAACCAGCUGAAAUACAAUUGCUUAUACAAAAUUCAAAGUGCUUACAGUAUCUGAGUCAUUUGACUCCAGAGGCAUGCCACAGAAGCAUCCCAGACUUAGGUACAAGGCACGAAAUAGCCAAGUGGCCCAACACCCUCCUAAAAGCAGCUCGACAUAUUUUUCUCCUCACCAAAGUGCAUGCCAUGGGUGCAGUUUUGCUGUGUGUUGUAUUAUAUGUGUAUAGAGUUAUGUGUUUAAAUAUAAUUUGUGAUCACACCAGUCAUGAGCAGUGGUUGAAGAAGCAAUGAAUAUAAAUAUAUACUGG